GGAAGUAAAAGUUGUAACAAGGUUUCCGUAGGUGAACCUGCGGAAGGAUCAUUAUUGUAUAACCGAGGUGCGAGGGCUGUCGCUGACCCGAAAGGUCGUGCACGCCCGAGUGCCCUCACACACAUCCAUCUCACCCCUAUGUGCACCACCGCGUGGGUCCCCCUUUGGCUUGUUCGGAGGGGGGCUUACGUUUUCACACAAACUUUGUAUGCAGUGUAGAAUGUAUUUUUUGUUUUUGCGAUCACGCAAUCAAUACAACUUUCAACAACGGAUCUCUUAGCUCUC
rnacentral:misc_RNA from 1 species